CUUCCGGGUGAUGGGUAAGGCAGAGAAACCAGCCCCCCGCUGAGUCCAGACUUUCUGGACUCCAUCCUUGGGGCCUGCCCUCCUCCUCAGCCUCAGAGUCAGCAGGAGAAUCUGGUGUCAGCAUUUACAGGACCCACGGAGUUCUUUUAUCUCAGG
rnacentral:lncRNA from 1 species